rnacentral:rRNA from 1 species
UUGGCGGAGAGGAGAGUGGAAUUCCCUGGGGAACGGGGAAAUGGCUAAAUUUUUGGAGGAACACCGGUGGCGAAAGCGGCUCUCUGGCCUGGAACUGACACUGAAGCUCGAAAGCGUGGGGAGCAAACAGGAUUAAAUACCCUGGUAAUCCACGCCGUAAACGAUGAGUGCUAAAUGUAGGGAGCUAUUAGUUCUCUGUAUCGCAGCUAACGCAAUAAACACUCCGCCUGGGGAGUACGACCGCAAGGUUGAAACUCAAAGGAAUUGACGGGGGCCCGCACAAGCGGUGGAGCAUGUGGUUUAAUUUCAAA